rnacentral:rRNA from 1 species
AUUGAACGCUGGCGGCAUGCUUUACACAUGCAAGUCGAACGGCAGCGCGGGCUUCGGCCUGGCGGCGAGUGGCGAACGGGUGAGUAAUAUAUCGGAACGUACCCAGAAGUGGGGGAUAACGUAGCGAAAGUUACGCUAAUACCGCAUACGAUCUACGGAUGAAAGCAGGGGAUCGCAAGACCUUGUGCUUUUGGAGCGGCCGAUAUCUGAUUAGCUAGUUGGUGAGGUAAAGGCUCACCAAGGCGACGAUCAGUAGCUGGUCUGAGAGGACGACCAGCCACACUGGAACUGGGACACGGUCCAGACUCCUACGGGAGGCAGCAGUGGGGAAUUUUGGACAAUGGGGGCAACCCUGAUCCAGCAAUGCCGCGUGAGUGAAGAAGGCCUUCGGGUUGUAAAGCUCUUUUGUCAGGGAAGAAACGGGAGUGGCUAAUAUCCAUUCCUAAUGACGGUACCUGAAGAAUAAGCACCGGCUAACUACGUGCCAGCAGCCGCCGUAAGAC